rnacentral:rRNA from 1 species
AUGGGCCCUGCGGCGGUCAUCGUGCUGAUCAUCCUCUGCGCCGCCGCCGCCGCCGAGGCCCGCGUCCCGGCCGGCCACCUCGCGACCAGGCGGCGCGACAGUGUUCCCGCGGGCGUGGGCGCGUGCGCGCUGGCCGUGGCCCCCUUCGGCUACCCCUGCGAAGAGCACACGGUGACGACGGUGGACGGGUACAUCCUGAGCCUGCAAAGGAUACCGAGGGGGCGGCGCGCCAGCGGCGGCGGCGCGGGGCAGCCGGUGCUUCUGCAGCAUGGCGUUCUCACGGACGGCAUGACAUGGCUGCUGAGCUCGCCGGAGGAAUCGUUGGCGUACAUCCUCGCGGACAGCGGCUUCGACGUGUGGGUGGUCAACAACAGGGGCACCAGGUGGAGCAGCCGCCACGUCUCCCUCGACUCCUACUCCCGGAGGUACUGGGACUGGUCCUGGGACGACCUGGUGGUGAACGACAUGCCGAGCUUGGUUGACUACGUCUGCAGCCACACCGGGCAGAAGCCGCACUUCCUCGGCCACUCCAUGGGGACGCUGGUGGCGCUGGCGGCCUUCUCGGAGGGCAGGACGGUGGACAAGCUCAAGUCGGCGGCGCUGCUGACCCCGGUCGCCUAUCUGUCCCACAUGACCACCCCCCUCGGCAUACUGCUCGCCAAAGCAUUCGUUGGAGAGCUCAUCACGAUCCUCGGUGUGGCGGAGUUCAACCCAGUAACGCCGGCGGUGGCGAGCCUCUUCAAGGAACUGUGCCGCCAUCCUGGAACCAACUGCUACGACCUCCUCAGAGACUUCACAGGGGAAAACUACUGCCUCAACAGCUCGGCCGUCGACGUCUUCCUCCAGUACGAGCCGCAGCCGACGUCCACCAAGACCAUGGUCCACCUCGCCCAGACGUUCCGCGACGGCGUGCUGUCCAAGUACGACUACAUGUGGCCGGGCGUGAACGUGGAGAAGUACGGCCAGCCGGACCCGCCGGCGUACAACAUGUCCAACAUACCGGCGGCCUUCCCGCUCUUCCUCAGCUACGGCGGCCGGGACGAGCUGGCCGACCCCGGCGACGUCGGCCGCCUCCUCGGGGACCUCCGGGGCGACGACCCCGACAGGCUCACGUUGCAGUACCUGGAGCAGUUCGCGCACGCCGACUUCGUCAUCGGCACCUGCGCCAAGGACUACGUCUACAACCACGUCGUCUCCUUCUUCAACCGCUUCAACUAG